rnacentral:lncRNA from 1 species
AUCGCUGCGGCCGGGAUAGGGCGCCGCCGUUCUGGCCGGCUUUCUCGGUGCCCUGGAGGACCUGGCCGGCUCCGCGGGAAGCUGUACUCAGAGCGCGCGGCCGCCCUCUGGCAGGGAGGAGUUCGUUGCACUUUUGAGGGUUCUUCACGAAGACAUCCAAUACAUAGAAAACAAGUAACAGCAACAGUAACGAAUUUUUAAAUAUUAAAAUUGCUGGGGAACACGACGGAUCCUGCAGCUGCUCGGCUGUCCCGGUCGUCAGUGACGCUAGGGCUCCGCACCGUACCCUGCAUACCGUAGGUGCUCACGAAACGUUCGUGAGUUCCCUGCUCUGAGGAAACAAGCUUAAAAACUCAGAAUCUAAGGUGUGAGUCUCCGCAAACCUGCUUGUUGGGCAGCGUCCCCCGCCCGGGCUAGCCCUGCACGCCCCACCCCGGAGCCACGCUUCUCCAGCCGGGACCCCUGCCUCCUUCCAGGCUAUUCUCGGAACCGCAGCCAGAGGGAAUUUUUUUUUCCUUUCCUGAAACGUAGAGCAGAUCUGGUUACUCUUCUGCACAACGCCCUAAAAUCUAGGGCCCUUCCCAUCCCUCAGAAUUUACAUCUAAUUCUCAGCUCCCCUCCGGCUUGCUGUAGCCAUCCUGGCUUUUGUUUAGCACAGCACUUACUGUUAGUGACAUUAUAUUGUAUAUUAUUAACAUAUUUGUGUUUUACAUCCCUCACUAGACCCCCAGGAAAGAGGCUUUGAUGUGUUGCCUGCUGCAAGGCUGGCUGCAUAAUUUGUGGAGCUCAGAGAAAAGUGCGGAGCUUCCUUGUUCAAAAAACAGAAAGAAAGUGCCUCUGAGGUCAUAAAAUAUAAAACUUUCUCUUUCCUCUCAGUUUCUCUCUUUUCAUAGUGUUUUUAUGUGUUAUUUAAUAUCAUUCCAAGAAAAAUUUAGAUUUAAAUUGUUAGCAUGAAGUUCACCAUCCAUCUUUACGUUGUGCAAUGCCAGUUUUAAAUACUAAUAUAAGUGCACUGAUCUCAUAUGUGGAAUCACAGAAAUUAUGCAAUUUGUACUUCAUAGCUUAUACAUGCAUAUAGAUUUUGUUUUUACCAGAACCACGCUGGUAAAAACAGAUGCUGCACAAAGUGAACUUGCCCGUUUUCAUCGCACUUUACGUGCACGAAUUCUACCUCUACUCUCGACCUGGGACUCACCGAUGCGUAAGGAAGGACUGAAAAGCAAAAGAACUAUGGACUGGCCUUUUGGCAUGAUCAGGUGUCUAAUAUAAAGAAGUGCAUGAAUAAGAAAAUAUAUGAUAUGAGUGAUGGUUAAUACUGACUGUCAACUUGAUUGGAUUGAAGGAUGCAAAGUAUUGAUCCUGGGUGUGUCUGUGAGGGUGUUGCCAAAGGAGAUUAACAUUUGAGUCAGUGGGCUGGGAAAGUUCGACCCACUGUUAAUCUAGAUGGACACCAUCUAAUCAGAUGCCAGUGCAGCUAGAAAUGUAAAGCAGACAGAAAAAUGCGAAAAGAGAGACUGGCCUAGCCUGCCAGCCUACAUCUUUCUCCCACGCUGGAUGCUUCCUGCCCUCGAACAUCAGACUCCAAGUUCUUCAGUUUGGGACUUGGACUGGCUCUCCUUGUUCCUCAGCUUGAAGACUGCCCAUUGUGGGACUUGUGAUCAUAGGUGGAGCACCUAUCCAGUGAGGCUGUGAGGAAGGCCUUAUACCAAGAAUAGGAGAAAGCUAGAAGGAGCCCAUACCUCUGACUGCCCUUGACUGCCCACGCAAGAACUCAUGCUGGAAAAACAAAGCCCUGUUUAGGUGCCAUGAUAAAUAAGCCAGUUUGAGUCACUUGGUCUAAUAUCGAGACCACGAACAUAUUGAUCACAGAAUGUGUUAGGUAAGCAUGUUGUUGACUGAAGUGUAAGUAAGGUGCUCACCUUAAAUGCAUGUGCCAACAUCAGCAUCUUCAGAAGAGUCUCUUUCCCUUUGGGACAUCGAGGUGACUGACAGUUAAACAAGCCGUAUUUGGAGUAGGUGUACAAUCAGCCUCCUUCCAGUUCUCCUUGGCACUUUCCAGUUCACAAAGGACACUUCACUCCUUUUUGGUUUUUUUGAGACAGGGUCUCACUCUGUCACCCAGGCUAGAGUACGGUGGUGAGAUCACCCCUCACUGCAACCUCCGUCUCCUGGGCUCAAGUGAUCCUCCCACCUCAGCCUCCCAAGUAGCUGGUACCACAGGUGCAUGCCACCACACCUGGCUGAUUUUUGUAUUUUGUGUAGAAGGGGGUAUUGCCCUAUCGCCUAGGCUGGAAGGCUGUUAAGAGGAGAACUGAGCAAUGAGGAUCCCAUCCUGGACUUCGCAGACUUGCUGUGCUUUUGAAUGCUUCUCUCACGGUCAGAGCCUGCACUGGAAAAGAUGGCAUUUGGGACAACACACCUGGCUGCUGCCCCAGGAAGAAAGUAGUGAACACUGGAGGACUGUCAGCCCUGUCAGUUUCUGGAAAUGUGCCCUGAGUUUAAGUUCUGGUUUCAGAUUAUGAGGAGCAAAAUUACUGAGUAGGCCUCCUCCUAGAACAGGAAGCUCUUCCCGCUGUGGGCCAGUGGCUCUGACAUAUCACAGAGCCUGCUCUGAUGAAGGCAGCAGGAAUGAUUUCAAAACAAGCAAAACCAAAGAAAACUGUUUGACAAUGGAAGUAAUAGAGGCUCAUUUUAGAAAACAUAGACAUAAAGAAAAAAAGAAGAAUCUUCCAUAACCCACAGAUUAUAACUACUUACAUACCUUCCAGGCUUUAUUUCUCUUUUUUAAAAAACAAAUGUUAAAGUGGAAUUUACCUAUAAAAAAGAUACAGGUCCUAAGAGCACAGCUUGGCUUGAUCAAUUUUCUCAAGUUGAAUGCACCUGUGCAAUCAGUGCCAGGCUGAACACACAGCCUCAGCAGCGCCUGGAAGCUUUUCCAAGCCUCCUUAUUGUCAUCCCUCCCUCCCCAGGGGUAGCUGCGAUCACUGUAGCUUUGGUCUGAACUAUAUAUAAAUGCAAUCAUGCCACGUUAUGUUUCUGAGACUCACCCACACCCUGGCAAGCCAUUGCAGUUUGUUUAUUCUCAAUGUUCUACAAGCAGCAGUCCCCAAGCUUUUUGGCACCGGGGACCAGUCUCAUGGAGGACGAUUUUUCCGCAGACCAGGUGGGGAUGGUUUUGGAAUGAUUCAAGCACAUUCCAUUUAUUGUGCACUUUAUUUCUAUUACUGUUGCAUUGUAAUAUAUAAUGAAAUAAUUAUAUAACUC